GCCUCGUUGGCGCAGUAGGCAGCGCGUCAGUCUCAUAAUCUGAAGAUCGUGAGUUUGAGCCUCACAUGGGGCA
rnacentral:tRNA from 2 species